rnacentral:rRNA from 1 species
CCUACGGGGGGCAGCAGUGGGGAAUAUUGGACAAUGGGCGAAAGCCUGAUCCAGCAAUGCCGCGUGUGUGAAGAAGGCCUGCGGGUUGUAAAGCACUUUCAGUUGGGAAGAACCAGCAGUCGGUUAAUACCCGAUUGUCCUGACGUAACCAACAGAAGAAGCACCGGCUAACUCCGUGCCAGCAGCCGCGGUAAUACGGAGGGUGCAAGCGUUAAUCGGAAUUACUGGGCGUAAAGCGCACGUAGGCGGUUGAAUAAGUCGGAUGUGAAAGCCCCGGGCUUAACCUGGGAAUUGCAUUCGAUACUGUUCGGCUAGAGUGUGGAAGAGGGAAGUGGAAUUCCAGGUGUAGCGGUGAAAUGCGUAGAUAUCUGGAGGAACAUCAGUGGCGAAGGCGACUUCCUGGUCCAACACUGACGCUGAGGUGCGAAAGCGUGGGGAGC